AAAGGAAUAGACGGGGACCCGCACAAGCGGUGGAGCAUGUGGUUUAAUUCGACGCAACGCGAAGAACCUUACCAGGGCUUGACAUCCCUCGCAAUUCAUGGAAACAUGGAGUUCUAAUUUUCGGAUUAGACGAGGAGACAGGUGGUGCAUGGUUGUCGUCAGCUCGUGUCGUGAGAUGUUGGGUUAAGUCCCGCAACGAGCGCAACCCCUACGUUUAGUUGCCAUCAUUAAGUUGGGCACUCUAAAAGAACUGCCGGUGACAAACCGGAGGAAGGUGGGGAUGACGUCAAAUCAUCAUGCCCUUUAUGUUCUGGGCUACACACGUGCUACAAUGGCCGGUACAGAGGGUAGCGAAGGAGUGAUCCGGAGCCAAUCUCAAAAAGCCGGUCUCAGUUCGGAUUGCAGGCUGCAACUCGUCUGCAUGAAGUCGGAAUCGCUAGUAAUCGCAAGUCAGCAUAUUGCGGUGAAUACGUUCCCGGGUCUUGUACACACCGCCCGU
rnacentral:rRNA from 1 species